rnacentral:miRNA from 3 species
UGAGUCUCCUUGAAAGUAAUGG